rnacentral:rRNA from 1 species
GAAAUUUAUAAUUAUAAAAUAUUAAUGUUCACGAAGCCAGGCGAGCUAAAUCCUAUUCUUUAUUAGCAGAUGAUUUUUAGUGUAUCAAUACUAAUAUAUUAUAUGAAUUUAGGGGUGAAAGGCCUUUCAAGUCUGUCGAUAUCUUGAUUAUAAGUAAAGAUAUUUAGUAUAGAAUUAACCUAAAAAUGAUAAGGUUUUUAGGGUUCAUAAUAUUAAAGGUUUGUUUAACUGAGUAUAUAAAAAUUCCAGUUUCAGUUUAUCAUAACAUAAAUUGUUAAAAAUAUAUGUAUACUACUUAUUUCUUUAGAUAAACAUAUAUUUUAAAUUAAUAAUGAUUUCAUUAGUAUCUACUUAAUUUUUAUUAAGGAACUCGGCAAAAAUUUUUCUCGACUGUUUAACAAAAACAUUGCUUUAAGUUAAUAUUUCAAGUUUACCCUGCUCAAUGAUCUAAAUUAAAUAGCCGCAGUACCCUGACUGUGCAAAGGUAGCAUAAUCAAUUGGCUUAUAAUUGAAGUCUAGUAUGAAUGGGAGCUCGGGAAUAAACUAUCUUAAAAAAAUUUUUAGAAUUUACUAAAUAAGUGAAAAUUCUUAUAUAUAGGAAAAAAGACGAGAAGACCCUAGAAAUUUUUAAUAGAAUUUCUAUAUAAGAUAUAGGAAAUAUUUUGUUGGGGCGACAUGGUAACAUUUUUUAUUUAGAACUUACCAAAAACUUUAAGAAAACAAUUGUUAGAAUAUAUAAAUUACUCUAGGGAUAACAGCAUAAUUUAUUAUUAAGAUUUUGACCUCGAUGUUGGACUAGGAAAUUUUUUACUUAAAAGGUAAAUUAGAAGGCUCUGUUCGAGCUAUACUUCACCUACAUGAUCUGAGUUCAGACCGG